rnacentral:lncRNA from 1 species
UCCACCACACUCCUAGUACCCUAAAGGUAUGAAAACAAGUGUCAUCUAAUCGAAACGAAUGACGCUAAGUUCAAUCAUUAAGCCUUUCAAGCAUAGGUGGAGAGAACUCACCUCUAGUGCAAAAAUCUCUUCUAAAGCUCCAAAAGAGAGCUAGAGUCCAUCCAAUCCAACCUAAUGGAAGCCUCUAAUCCACUCAAUCUAGCUUCAAAAGCCCUAGAUUCAAAAUACCCAAAAUAAACCCUAAUAUCACAAUCUAGGGUUUCAUCUCAUGAAAUCCAAUAAAUUAAGGAUCAAAUGGAAGAACUAAGCUUCUAACCUCUUUGGAAGCCUCCAACAAGUAUCCAAUCUAAGUGAUGUUGAAGAUCUCCGCAGCCACUAGCUCCUCUCCAAGCUCUAAGCCAUCAACAAUGGUGGAGAAGCCACCAAGAUGCAAAUAGAGGAGAGAAAACCCAAUAAAAACCAAGCAAAAGGAGUAAAAAUGCAAAGGAAGGGAGAGAGAGCUCCUCCUACCUCAACUCCUGCUGGUCUCUGCACAGGGGAGGCCCUAAGGGGCGUGGGGUGCACUUAUAGAAGUGCUAUAAUAGCAAAAACACCCCUGCAGACCAAACUGCACGAAAACUGCCUUCUUGUACCGGUACACGGGCUCUUGUACCGGUAUAAGGCCCACGAAAAUGCAAACCCGAGGCUCGGGUUGCGGGGUCUGCGUCUCUGUACCGGUACAAGCCCGAUGGCAGUACCGGUACAACCAUCAACCCUUGUACCGGUACAAGACCAACCUUGUUCCGGUACAAGCUCUGCUGCAGGCUACCCGAGAGCUGACCAAGGUCCAAUCAUUUUGGGCUUUGGUGCAAGGCUUUAAACCACAAUUCUCGGUACUCGAACCAUAGGUCGGAAC